AGGAAUGAACGACCUAAAAUUAUGAAAUUCUGAUUUAGCUUCUGAGAUGAUUCCAUAUCAAGUAUGAGGAAGUCUAUUAAAAAAUAAUAUUGAUUUACUCUAACUAAGACAUCCUCAAUCAGAUCACGUGGCAUUUUUACUGAUCUAUUGGCUAAUUACAGAAUGGCUGGCAUGGGUUUUAGUUCUCCAAUCUCAAAUUUUUCAUAGACCAA
rnacentral:lncRNA from 1 species